GACGAGGGGGCAGAGGGGGAUGUGAUGCUGAGGAGGGCAGAGCAGCCAGCCUGGAGACCCCACCUGGACAGACAUGUUACAUAUGUGUUCGGGUUCCAUAGAGAGUGAAGACUCUUCAUCCUCAUACAUCUCGUUCCUGUGAAGGAGCAGCUGUGUGACAUGCAGAGUGAUGUCACCAGGAGAUCAGGUUUCAUGUGCCAAGAAACUGGGACCAGUUUGCGCAUCCCCGAAGGGAGGGCUAAAGUCUAAACCACAGGUGAUCCCCACCUUUUUUACCUACUGGACCAAUUGAAGCUAUUCAACUUAUCUAUUCGUUAGACCAAUGCCAAUUCACAUUUGUUUCAACUGGAACCAUAUAAUGCAUUGUAGACUGAAAUUGUGCAUCUUUUUUCUGGGAGAUUGGUGGUAGUUAACUGCUUUACUGCUUAGGGCUCUGCUGCCUGUGUUUUUUCAAACAGAAAGGAUCCUUGGUCGACCAAGCUAUUGCUUUUGCUUAAUCAUACAAUUCUUAAUAAAUAGUAGGGCUGGGACUUUAACGCGUUAAUUAAGAUUAAUUAAUUACACAAAAAUUAACACGUUAAAAAAAUUAACGCAUUUUAAUCGCAGUUAUUUUUGCACCGCAGAACGUUUCUCACUGGAUGAAUUUCAGGCGUACCGAUUAUACUGGAGUACAAUUAGUAAACGAGUUAAAAAGCCGCUGACACUGAUUACUGCCCAUGGAUCUAUAAAGUUUUAAUGUAGCCUGAAUGCAGCUCAAACUGACCCAGUGCCUCAGCAUUGCGACCAAGCUUUGAUAAACACACCGGAUGUGCGCCGGUUUACAGUAUCCUCCCGUAGGUUAGCCGGUCGCUACUGGAGCUUAAUUGAAAAAAAAAUAAAUUAAUUAAAAAGCGCUUGUCGCAGUGGAGCUGAGAAUAGCAGAGUUUCCUCCGCUGCAGUUGAACAGCUGACAUGUGGUCAAGACAGAGGUAGCCUACACCAACCUAUCACCGUCUCACGGUGCAAAACUUCAACCUCAGAGCUCUCUGUCUUCAGACUGUCCUGACCUGUCCCUGAACAUCACACAGGGAAAACAUAGAGCUGCCUGUGUUUUAUUAAUAUUUACAUCAGGCUGAGUUCAACAAAUCAGUUUAAUCGGUUAAAAGUAAACUAACAAACUAGUGUAGAGUCCUGGAUAAGUAAUGUUCAGCUUAAAUUUUCCCCUUAAAUUUAGGUUCUCAGGAAAAUCGCAUCUCAUCAGGUAAUCGUUAAUCGAUCGAUAAGGUCCAUCAACUAACGUUUAAUGAAUUAAUCGAUAAUUUGCAUCCCUAGUCUGUUGGUCUUGGUUAAGUAACACCUUGAAAAAAAAAUAAACAAUGUUUUGUUGCUUAAGCUUAGGUAUUCAGUCAUUAUUCAAUGGUAUACUAAAACCCAUAUGAAAAAAACUGCUUCUCACUGUUCUCAGGUAAAAUAUUUAUAUGCGAUUAAAAAUGCGAUUAAUUUUGAUUAAUUAAUUACAAAGCCUCUAAUUAAUUAGAUUAAUUUUUUUAAUCGAGUCCCGGCCCUAAUAAAUAGUUGACCGAACAUCGUAGUCCGUCUUGUCUUAUAGUCUGUUUAUUCUCAAAUCUAAAACAAACUAACACACCUGACACUUGUCUGUGUCCUGAGAAAGCAGACAUGUUGAUUUUUCUGAAGAAAAGCUGCCAAGUGAAAAGGUCCUCAGUAUGUAGCAGUGAGAAAUAGACGCUGACUUGUCACUUGUUUGCAAGUGUUCUUUUGCACUGGAAAUUAUUUGUUCAUAUUUUAUGUAAGAAAACUUCUCUGAGUGGAAAAAUACCAAAGCUGAAGAGUAAACUCAAGAUUUGUGCUGUAAUGUGUUAUGUAAUUUUCUUUUUGUUAGAAUUGAUAUUAUAAAAUUGGUAUUGAAAAAAGUAGCAUUCAGGAACCGGUAUGGAAGUGAAAGUAUCAUAUUGGUACCAGUAUCAAAAUGUUUGAUUGAUGCCCAGCCCUAUCCACAACAGAGGAAAAGUGUCUGUCUUCCUGUCUCUUCAUCACAUUUCUGACCAAAAUGUUCAGUGUGAACAAACAAAGGCGGCGUGAGAGUGAGCCUUCUUUGCAGCAAUAAUGUGAAGUCUCUGUGUGAAAAGGGCU